AUGGUAAUUUAAAUAACAUACAGGCAGGUACAGCGAUUUAAUCUCAAAGAACUUGCACGUAAAAAUGCAUUUUUAUUUAUUGGGGGGGCGUGAAAACCCUACCUGUGUGUAUUUGUACUCGGAAGGGUUUUGAUGAAUAUUGAAUAAUCAGACAUAGUACGAUAAGGUUGUAUGUCUAAAGGGAAACAGCCCAGAACAAGAGUUAAUAAGGUUCCAAAAUUACUGUUAAGUGAAAAUAAGGAAGUAUUUAUUCAAUACACCCAGGAAAUAGGCUUAGAAGCGGCCAUUUUUUAAAGAUCUCGUAACAGAGCACUGGUUAAGUUUAUUUUUUUUUUUAUAAAUAAACAGGGGNUAAAAGCACCUAAAAUUUAACGGNUNUAAAACAGUAUACCGAGACCUUGCCCAUAUAUNUAUAAUCUNUGGAAAGGGAGAGUUAACAUAUAUAACUCAUACAAAUAAUUUUUCUAGAGGUGAUUAAAAAUGUGGGGUAGCAGAACAUUGGGUAAAUCUAGGAUUUUUUCUUAUUAAGUGUUAAAAUUAGAUAUCCCAAGUGAUAAUGCUGACAUGAGUAACGAUAAAGGGAAUUAUUCCCUCGCCUAAAGCUUAUGGUAUUUNUAUUAAAGUAACGGCCUNUAAGUUUAUAUAUACUGAAAAAUUUCUUUUUUUUUUUUAAGAAGAAAGUAGUGUAUACAUAAGAUACCAAUAUGUAUGCAUAAUCCUAAAGGAUUAAACGAUGAGAGAAUCUACUAAUGUUUAUUGUUAAAUAACCUUUGGGUACAAUCAUAUGUGCUAAAGUGACAAAGUGUUCUGGAAAAACAUUAAACAAUACAGGAUAAUUGAGAACAAAGGGAGUAUCAAUUAUGCUGUUAGGUACCGUACCUAAAAACUACCCCAAGUAAGUUAGUAGAGAAUACGAAGGCGUUNACGGUAACA
rnacentral:rRNA from 1 species